ACACUCAGUUUGGCAGCAUAUGUGCUAAAAUUGGAAUCAUACAGAGAAGAUUAGCAUAGCAGUUGCACAAGGAUGGCACACAUAUUUGGGAAGGAUUUUAUAUUUUG